ACGGGUGCGUAAAACGUGGGCAAUCUGCCCUUCGAUGGGGAAUAACCCCGGGAAAACGGGGCUAAUUCCGCAUAACAUUCCGGGGACCUCGGUCCCUGGAUUCAAAGGCGCAAGCCGUCGAAGGAGGAGCCCGCGCACGAUUAGCUAGUUGGUAGGGUAGCGGCCUACCAAGGCUUUGAUCGUUAGCUGGUCUGAGAGGAUGGCCAGCCACACUGGAACUGAGACACGGUCCACACUCCUACGGGAGGCAGCAGUGGGGAAUCUUGCACAAUGGGCGAAAGCCUGAUGCCAGCGACGCCGCGUGGGGGAUGAAGCUUUUCGGAGUGUAAACCCCUUUCGACCCGGACGAAUGCCCCGCAAGGGGACUGACGGUACGGGUAUAA
rnacentral:rRNA from 1 species